AUUGAGACGGUUACAUGUGAAAAAAGUUGAACAAACAUUCCAAAUCAUUUAAAAUCUUUUCUUAGUACAGGUGUUCAACUAUUAAUUAACUUGAUGAAGAGGAAGAAUUAACGAGUGACGGUGGUCGAUUCGAUUAGGGUUUCUCAAGCAAAUCUAAAAUGGUAGACCCUCUAGAAUCAAGAUAUUCUCAUGGUACGCCGACACAAAUGCUGAUCUCAGAUGAAAUCUCUAAGAUCUUUCUGAAAUUGACUGACAUAAUCUUGAAUUGGUACUUCAUUUGAUUGUCUCAUGAGUCAUGGUACUUGAGGGUUGCCACAAUGUGUGAAUUUUCCAAGCAGGAAUUUGUUGCUGGCUUGCAAUUGCAAUCUCUUUGGUACUUAUACUUUUGAAAACUCCUUUUAUUA